GAAAUAGCUCGACUAAUCAUCUGUUUAUAGAAUUGAUGUUCGAAAUCGUGAUUUCUGAGUGAACUUCAUUGGAGCAUAAAAUCUUGGAGGGAACAUCAAUAUUAAUUUAAUGACAUUCCAUAAGAAUAAAAAUCCAAUAGGACCAAGAUCUUAGCAGUUCGCACCCGGUCAGAGGGACAAAAUUGAGAACUAUGCAGAUCAGCAAGUGUGAGUUACACUCUAAUGAGGAACAGGACAUCUGAAUUGGAAAAUUGCAAGGUUUCCCACUGCCCAAGCUGUUUAAGUACUGGUACCACAACAAGUACCAAGAUGAAAGAAAUAUGAAGGCCAAGUUAAUAAGUAGUUACUUCAAAUUAAUUUGAAUAGAUAUCAACAAAGCAUUGAAUGUUCUUUAAACUGCAUAUCUGUAGAAAAGAGUGCAGUACAAGUUCAGAUUCAUCAGCGGGCAAUCAAGACAUUAAAGUACAUGUAUACAAAAUUUCACACAAAAUACAAGUAAGAAAUAUUUUUUUCCAAUGGGCAAAUGUAUCACCCUUUAUUAAUAUUAAUACUUCUACUAGUUCUUAAAGUUUUCGUGAAAUUAAAUGUAAUUUCCAGUUUAAAGGCCUAUUGUAUAUAAGACAAAAAUUUAUAUUUUGAAAUAAAAAUCAUGCGUAGAUAAAUGUUAAUAAAGGUGAUCAGAGGAUUAAGAAAUAAUUUCAGUAUCAUUCCUGGACCUUAUUUCAUAAACAAGUUAUUACUAUUGUAAUCUUGUCACUAUGACAAUUACCAUGGUAACAGGGCUGAGCAAGAAAUCAAGGUCUUUAUGGUAGCUGCAAUGGGCUUGGACAAAGUUACCACAAUUGCAAGUCUUCAUAUAAUGGCUUAAUAAUUAUGUAGGGAUAUUAAAUUGCAUUUAUUGUUAUCUCACUUUUUAAAAAGUUUUGACAUGAAUUACCUCUGCAAAAAUAUAUGAAUAGACUAUAUUUUUAAAAAUAGAUUGAAUUCUAGCUACAGUGACAGUAGACAAUAUCAAAUUUUGUGAAUGAUUCACUAAUGUAUUGACUGGGAAAGGCACUCUUUAGGGAGAUUCUGCCAUUCUGGAAUUAUCCCCCCCCCCCUUGCUGUGCUCUCACAUUAGUAGAAUAUUUCUAG
rnacentral:lncRNA from 1 species